rnacentral:ncRNA from 16 species
GCGCCGAGGAGCGCUGCGACGGCCCGUCGAGGGCCGCCAGGCUCGGCGGGGACAAUCGGUUUUCCAACGGCGCUCUGUUUAU